rnacentral:rRNA from 1 species
GACGAACGCUGGCGGCGUGCCUAAUACAUGCAAGUUGAGCGCUGAAGGUUGGUACUUGUACCGACUGGAUGAGCAGCGAACGGGUGAGUAACGCGUGGGGAAUCUGCCUUUGAGCAGGGGACAACAUUUGGAAACGAAUGCUAAUACCGCAUAAAAACUUUAAACACAAGUUUUAAGUUUGAAAGAUGCAAUUGCAUCACUAAAAGAUGAUCCCGCGUUGUAUUAGCUAGUUGGUGAGGUAAAGGCUCACCAAGGCGAUGAUACAUAGCCGACCUGAGAGGGUGAUCGGCCACAUUGGGACUGAGACACGGCCCAAACUCCUACGGGAGGCAGCAGUAGGGAAUCUUCGGCAAUGGACGAAAGUCUGACCGAGCAACGCCGCGUGAGUGAAGAAGGUUUUCGGAUCGUAAAACUCUGUUGGUAGAGAAGAACGUUGGUGAGAGUGGAAAGCUCAUCAAGUGACGGUAACUACCCAGAAAGGGACGGCUAACUACGUGCCAGCAGCCGCCGUAA